rnacentral:rRNA from 1 species
UACGGGGGGGGGGCAAGCGUUGUUCGGAAUUACUGGGCGUAAAGGGCGCGUAGGCGGCCUGCUAAGUCGGAUGUGAAAUCCCUCGGCUCAACCGAGGAACUGCAUCCGAUACUGGCGGGCUUGAAUCCGGGAGAGGGAUGUGGAAUUCCAGGUGUAGCGGUGAAAUGCGUAGAUAUCUGGAGGAACACCGGUGGCGAAGGCGGCAUCCUGGACCGGUAUUGACGCUGAGGCGCGAAAGCUAGGGGAGCAAACGGGG